rnacentral:rRNA from 1 species
UGGGGAAUUUUGGACAAUGGGCGAAAGCCUGAUCCAGCAAUGCCGCGUGUGUGAAGAAGGCCUUCGGGUUGUAAAGCACUUUUGUCCGGAAAGAAAUCCUUGGCUCUAAUACAGUCGGGGGAUGACGGUACCGGAAGAAUAAGCACCGGCUAACUACGUGCCAGCAGCCGCGGUAAUACGUAGGGUGCAAGCGUUAAUCGGAAUUACUGGGCGUAAAGCGUGCGCAGGCGGUUUGCUAAGACCGAUGUGAAAUCCCCGGGCUCAACCUGGGAACUGCAUUGGUGACUGGCAGGCUAGAGUAUGGCAGAGGGGGGUAGAAUUCCACGUGUAGCAGUGAAAUGCGUAGAGAUGUGGAGGAAUACCGAUGGCGAAGGCAGCCCCCUGGGCCAAUACUGACGCUCAUGCACGAAAGCGUGGGGGAGCAAACAGGAUUCAGAUACCCUGGUAGUCCACGCCCUAAACGAUGUCAACUAGUUGUUGGGGAUUCAUUUCCUUAGUAACGUAGCUAACGCGUGAAGUUGACCGCCU